AACGAACGCUGGCGGCAGGCCUAACACAUGCAAGUCGAGCGCCCCGCAAGGGGAGCGGCAGACGGGUGAGUAACGCGUGGGAAUCUACCGUACCCUACGGAAUAGCUCCGGGAAACUGGAAUUAAUACCGUAUACGCCCUACGGGGGAAAGAUUUAUCGGGGUAUGAUGAGCCCGCGUUGGAUUAGCUAGUUGGUGGGGUAAAGGCCUACCAAGGCGACGAUCCAUAGCUGGUCUGAGAGGAUGAUCAGCCACAUUGGGACUGAGACACGGCCCAAACUCCUACGGGAGGCAGCAGUGGGGAAUAUUGGACAAUGGGCGCAAGCCUGAUCCAGCCAUGCCGCGUGAGUGAUGAAGGUCUUAGGAUUGUAAAGCUCUUUCACCGAUGAAGAUAAUGACGGUAGUCGGAGAAGAAGCCCCGGCUAACUUCGUGCCAGCAGCCGCCGUAACAC
rnacentral:rRNA from 1 species